rnacentral:misc_RNA from 1 species
GCUGCAGAGGAAUCUCACCUUCAAAUUUAUUGGAGUGAACAUUGAGUACUUUCAAUAAAGAUAGGCUUUCACCUAUCCACGAAGGAAUAAAACCAUCAAAAGCAUUCAUGCUAAGAUCAAGAGUCUCCAAGGAUUCUAGUUGUCUUAAUGACAUUAGGAUAUUUCCUUGCAGAUUAUUAUUUUGCAGAUGCAGGGAAACAAGCAAUUUUUGAGAACCCAAGGACAUUGGAACAUGGCCACUCAGCAUAUUAUUUGACAAAUCAAUGACACUUAAAUAUUUCAAAUUUCCCCAACACGAUGGUAUUCGCCCUGACAGAUGAUUUUUCGAAAGAUGGAGAAUUUCUAAACUUUCAAGCCCACAUAAAGAAGCAGGAAUGGUACCAUUCAAAUAGUUGUUGGAGAGGGAUAAAAAUCGCAAAUUUGGCAUCACUUUGCUGAUGUUAUGGGGAAUCUGGCCAUGCAGCAAGUUGUUGGAGAUAUCCAAUAUACUUGCUUCAGAAUGAUAAUGUGUAAAAGAAGCAUUGAACUUGUUCGAUUUCAAUAAUAUGUACCUAGAAAUAGCCAUAGGAUCCGG